ensembl:snRNA U1 U1 spliceosomal RNA
UUACUUACCUGGCAGGGGAGACACCAUGAUCAAGAAGGUGGUUCACCCAGAGCGAGGCUCUGCCUUUUCACUCCGGCCGUGCUGACCCCUGAGAAAUUACCCAAAUGUGGGAAUCUCGACUGCAUAAUUUAUGGUAGUUGGGGAUUACGUUCCCCCUG